UAUGACACAUAUGCAUAGUUGGAUCAUUCAAGACCAUCGAAUCCAACCAUGAUAUGUGGAAUAGU
rnacentral:pre_miRNA from 1 species